GACGAACGCUGGCGGCGUGCCUAAUACAUGCAAGUCGAGCGGAAUGAUGAAGAAGCUUGCUUCUUCUGAUUUUAGCGGCGGACGGGUGAGUAACACGUGGGCAACCUACCUUGUAGAUUGGGAUAACUCCGGGAAACCGGGGCUAAUACCGAAUAAUCCAUUUUGCUUCAUGGCGAGAUGUUAAAAGGCGGCUUCGGCUGUCACUACGAGAUGGGCCCGCGGCGCAUUAGCUAGUUGGUAGGGUAAUGGCCUACCAAGACGACGAUGCGUAGCCGACCUGAGAGGGUGAUCGGCCACACUGGGACUGAGACACGGCCCAGACUCCUACGGGAGGCAGCAGUAGGGAAUCUUCCACAAUGGACGAAAGUCUGAUGGAGCAACGCCGCGUGAGUGAAGAAGGUUUUCGGAUCGUAAAACUCUGUUGUAAGGGAAGAACACGUACGAGAGUAACUGCUCGUACCUUGACGGUACCUUAUUAGAAAGCCACGGCUAACUACGUG
rnacentral:rRNA from 1 species